GACGAGCGCUGGCGGCGUGCUUAACACAUGCAAGUCGAACGGAAAGGCCCUGCUUUUGUGGGGUGCUCGAGUGGCGAACGGGUGAGUAACACGUGAGUAACCUGCCCUUGACUUUGGGAUAACUUCAGGAAACUGGGGCUAAUACCGGAUAGGAGCUCCUGCUGCAUGGUGGGGGUUGGAAAGUUUCGGCGGUUGGGGAUGGACUCGCGGCUUAUCAGCUUGUUGGUGGGGUAGUGGCUUACCAAGGCUUUGACGGGUAGCCGACCUGAGAGGGUGACCGGCCACAUUGGGACUGAGAUACGGCCCAGACUCCUACGGGAGGCAGCAGUGGGGAAUAUUGCACAAUGGGCGGAAGCCUGAUGCAGCAACGCCGCGUGCGGGAUGACGGCCUUCGGGUUGUAAACCGCUUUCGCCUGUGACGAAGCGUGAGUGACGGUAAUGGGUAAAGAAGCACCGGCUAACUACGUG
rnacentral:rRNA from 1 species